rnacentral:rRNA from 1 species
CGCCCCGCCUGGGGAGUACGAUCGCAAGAUUAAAACUCAAAGGAAUUGACGGGGACCCGCACAAGCAGCGGAGCAUGCGGCUUAAUUCGACGCAACGCGAAGACCCUUACCAAGGCUUGACAUAUAGUGAAAAGCGGCAGAGAUGUCGUGUCCGCAAGGGCGCUAUACAGGUGGUGCAUGGUUGUCGUCAGCUCGUGUCGUGAGAUGUUGGGUUAAGUCCCGCAACGAGCGCAACCCUCGUUCUGUGUUGCCAGCAUUUAGUUGGGGACUCACAGGAGACUGCCGUGGUUAACACGGAGGAAGGUGGGGAUGACGUCAAAUCAUCAUGCCCCUUAUGUCUUGGGCUGCACGCAUGCUACAAUGGCCGAUACAAAGGGCUGCAAUACCGUGAGGUGGAGCGAAUCCCAUAAAGUCGGUCUCAGUUCGGAUUGAGGUCUGCAACUCGACCUCAUGAAGUCGGAGUUGCUAGUAAUCGUAGAUCAGCAACGCUACGGUGAUACGUUCCCGGGUCUUGUACACACCGCCCGUCACGUCACGAAAGUCGGUAACACCCAAAGUCAGUGGCCCAA